rnacentral:lncRNA from 1 species
AUGUCCAAUUCUCCCUUUUGUCUCCACUCAGUGACUGUUAUCUACACACUCCGUUAUCUCUGCUCGUCCUGGCUCCCUUCUAAAACUUCUCCUCUCUGCUCUCCAACCGUCAAGGUCUCUGCAGUGCGGGGGAGGGCUCAACUCACUUCGACUGGAUCGUUAGUAAACCAUCCUCUGCUACCAUUUCUGUUAGUAAUUGGAUAUGUAGACGGACGAGUCGGUCAAGGAUCGAUUCAGACAAGGUGGUAAAUUGUAUGACAAGCUACAGUUUAUUCAGAGUGAAGAUAUCUAGAACAGCGUAAUUACGGCUCUCCCGCUGGUUCGUACGGAAGCGCAGACGAAGAAGAGGCCGUUACAAUCAGUACACCACUAUUAUAUAGAAAAGAAAGUAGGUUGAUUCUGGAAGAUCGGAUCUUUGGAUUGGUUCAGCUGGGGUGUAGUCUGUAGUCUUCCGCCAUUGGCUCAGUAGUCUGUCCGUCAUCGUAGAAUCCUCUUCGGGCAUUCAACGUUCAGAGACAACGGAGAUCAUGUGUGUGUGCGCUGGUUUUGGCCAUUAGUGUAAUGCGGGAGCUAUCCUGUAGGGGACCCCACAGGCUCAACUCUGAGUUGUAGCCCUUUAUCAACAAUAGUUUGGUCACCUACAUAAGAAUUAGCAUUUCUCUACAAUAGAUAAGUAAAGAAAUAAAAAACAACAGUAAAAAGACAGUGAAAAAUAACAGUAGCGAGGUUACAUACAGUAUUGAGGCUAUAUACAGGCACCGGUUAGUCGGGCUAAUUGAGGUAGUAUGUACAUGUAGGUAUGGUUAAAGUAACUAGGCAUAUAUGAUAAGCAGAGAGUAGUAGUAGCGUAAAAGAGGGGGUGGUGGGUGACGGGACACAAUGCAGAUAGUCCGGGUUGCCAAUGUGCGGGGGGAACCGGUUAGUCGGGCUAAUUGAGGUAGUAUGUACAUGAAUGUAUAGUUAAAGUGACUAUGCAUAUAUGAUAAACAGAGUAGCAGCAGCGUAAAAGAGGGGUUGGGGGGGACAUAAUGCAAAUAGUCCAGGUCGCCAAGUAUAAAUGUAAAUUUAUUAAGUUUAGUGUUAGUUUAGGGUAAGGACGUCCCAAUGAAUCCGGAUUGCAGUGACCGUUCAUAGAGUGAGAGACUGGCACGGUAUUUGAGAGCUUGGCCACGACACAGACAUUAAUUUGUUUUUUAUAAGCGGCAGAAGCGACUUUCGAGUGUCUGCACCAGAUCGUUUCCUUAUUCGAGACAAUGAAAACAAUGAAUAAGAUGUCUUUGAUCCAAAUGAGGAGUAAGUAGGCUAUAUUUAAGUUGCGAUAUCGCUAGGAAAUAUUAAGUAUUAAGGCAAAUUUUGUUUAUUUGAAAAUAAUAUUUUGUUUAACGUAUUGUCGAAAGAACGAAGGCAAUAUUAUUUACUGUGUCGAUAGAUUUACUGUGUCGAUGCUAGUGUACAAUAACGUAAUUUUAUGUGCUAGUAUUAUUUAUUUAAUGGAUUAAUUAAAUUGUAAAUUAAAUAACUAUUUUUCACUGAAGGGAAACGAGGUACAACAUGCAACCUCGAUUGAAGACCUAAAAUCAUGCCUGACAAUAUCACAACGGUAUCCUAAUAUAGUGUGGAUACAGCAGUAGCCUAUUCUUCAACAAUUUAACUGUAUGUGCUUGCUAGUAUUAUUUAUCUAAUUGAUCAAUUCAAUUGUAAAUGGGGAUGGGUAGGCUACUUCAUUCAGUGAAUACUGAAUAUAUUGCUAUCUCUGGGAGUUUGUUAAUGACGGCUUUUCAGCUGUUGAACUAUGGCAACGUCGAAAUCAUUUCCAAAUGUCUUUCUUUUAGUCAAGAUGUGAUGAGCCAGAGCAACCAAUCAGCUUCACUGCAGCUGCUCAACCCACCACCCUCACUGUUCUCCCUCCACAAGUAACCACAUCCUCUUCUCCUAUUCAACUACUUUGCCACCACUCUAAAAAUGACUGUACAUAUACCCCUGUGCCCUUCUGUGUAGCAUGAUCCAUCCAAGGCCUCAGCUGAAUGCCUAAAAUGUGAGAAAUGUAAGCAAGAUGCUAUAGUGUGUGUGUGUGUGUGUGUGUGUGUGUGUGUGUGUGUGUGUGUGUGUGUGUGUGUGUGUGUGUGUGUGUGUGUGUAUGGAUGGAGUUCCAAGUAAAGACUUGAUAAGAUGGCAAAGGAGAUAGUGAUGAGAGUGAGAUUAUACAGUAUGAAAAUAAAGACCCAUUGGGAUCUAAAUUGAGUGUGGGAGUGCCUCUUGUGUCUCCUUUUUUGUCUGUUUGAGGAUACUAGUCACCCCUAGUGGAGGUUCUUGGAACACUGUGAUUUAAGUCUGAGCAGACGUUGCCAAAAACCUUCAAAGGUGGUGGUGCUAUGUUGCUUGUUAUGUUGAAUACCAGGCAGAUGUUUGAGUACAGAAACAAAUGGUGUAAACUUAACAAUCUAAACUGGUUGAGUACACUCUUUGAGAAAGGGGUUCCAACAGGGUUCUUUGGCUGUCACCAAAGGAGAUAACUUUUUGGUUCCAGGUAGAAAUAUUUUUGGUUCCAUGUAGAACCUUCUGUGGAAUGGAACCCAAAAGGGUUCUACCUAGACACAGAAGGGGUUCUACCUGGAAACAUAAAGGGUUAUCCUAUGGGGACAGCAGAAGAAUCCUGUUAGUUUGUAGAUAGCAGCUUUUUAUAUGUGUGUAGUCCUAUAUUGCAGUCGUGGUUCUGUGGAUAUCUGAAAAAUAAAAUUCAUUGAUUUUUUACUUUAGUUUAUUUGGUAGAUAUUUUCUUACUCUUCUUGAGCUGCACUGUUGGUUAAGGG